GGAAUUGACGGGGCCGCACAAGCGGUGGAGCAUGUGGUUUAAUUCGACGCAACGCGAAGAACCUUACCAGGGCUUGACAUCCCCUGACCGCGUAUGAAAGUACGUUUUCACCCUCGGGUGACAGGGAGACAGGUGGUGCAUGGUUGUCGUCAGCUCGUGUCGUGAGAUGUUGGGUUAAGUCCCGCAACGAGCGCAACCCCUACGUUUAGUUGCUAACGCGUGAAGGCGAGCACUCUAGACGAACUGCCGUUGACAAAACGGAGGAAGUGGGAUGACGUCAAAUCAUCGUGCCCCUUAUGUUCUGGGCUACACACGUGCUACAAUGGCCGGUACAGACGGACGCAAAGCCGCAAGGUGGAGCAAAUCCUAAAAAGCCGGUCUCAGUUCGGAUUGCAGGCUGCAAUUCGCCUGCAUGAAGUCGGAAUCGCUAGUAAUCGCAGGUCAGCAUACUGCGGUGAAUACGUUCCCGGGCCUU
rnacentral:rRNA from 1 species